rnacentral:rRNA from 1 species
AUGAACAUCGGACCGGUUCUCGGCCAAGGCGCAGAUAUCUACGAGGAGCUCACGCGGGCCAAGUUCGAGGAGCUGAACCGUGACCUCAUGGAGAGAGCACUGGGAAUAGUGGACACGGUGGUGAUGGGAGGUGCUCCCACUUCCCAGACGCAGAGCCGCAAGGACGCCAUCGACGAGGUCAUUCUCGUCGGCGGCAGUGUGAGGAUCCCCAUGGUUGGGCAGCUCCUUGAGGAUUACUUCAAUGGUAGGGGGCUAAUCAAGGAUGAGGACGCGGUGAUCCGCGGCGCUGCUCUUCUGUCCCGCCCCGAGUCUGCUAGGUAUGUGGACGAAUGCUACCACGGAGGAGUCUCGGGGCCUCUCUGGUUGGCAAAAUAA